GGGGGGGGGCAAAAAGAAAAAAAGGCGCGAUGCUAUAGCUGGCAGGAAAAAAAAAGGAAAAAAGUUAUUUUCCAGGUAUUUUCGUCGUGUGAUAACCGAAAAUAUCUCCGUUGGUCUGCAGAAGCAUCAUGUUCCAUCAUGCGAGUUGCUUCGUGAUAUAUCUGAUUUGUUGGCGUAGUACGAAACGUAACGCAGAAUUCGAGACUUCCGACCUAUGCACCGACCGAAAAGCAUGGAAACUCGAGUAACGUCCACGGAUUAGCAUAAACGGUAUUGUCUUUGGAGGAUCAAAUAACAGCUAUAGUCAGCAAAGGACUCGAUAGGAUUUGGGGACUCGGUUGAAAUAAGCAAGCAAGCAAGCUUCGAUCUAACCCUAUGGAAAUACACUUAUACGAAAAGGUCCUGGACGUACGAUGAAUCGCGGAAAAACAACACCAAACGGAUCACCGCUCGUAUUAUAUAUAACCGUUGUAUCUC
rnacentral:misc_RNA from 1 species